rnacentral:rRNA from 1 species
UUAUGCCUGGCGGCCAUAGCGAGUUGGUCCCACCUGAUCCCAUACCGAACUCAGAAGUGAAACAGCUUAGCGCCGAUGAUAGUGUGGGAGUUCCCAUGUGAAAGUAGGUCACUGCCAGGCUU